GCCGUGCGCCAACCUUUUCGGAGGGGGCAGCGGACCACGGUGGGUUCAGCGACUGGGGUGAAGUCGUAACAAGGUAGCCGUAGGGGAACCUGCGGCUGGAUCACCUCCUUU
rnacentral:rRNA from 1 species